rnacentral:rRNA from 1 species
AUGGCUGCGCCGGCGCCGCCAACCACAAGCUCCAAGCCGCCCCUCCCCCCGCGCCUCGCCGUGCCGCUCGCCCUCGCGCUCCUCCUCGCUCUCGCAUUCGUUGUCGACUUCCUCUCCUAUUCCUCCGCCAUCAGCCCGCCCGUCUCCUCCUCUUCCAAGACGGUAAAGGAGGGUAAUAAUAAUGACGAUACGAAGCUUCGCAAUGGAUCACCGACGGUGAGGCACCUCAACGCGACGUUCUCAGACCUGCCGGCGCCGCACUGGGACUGGGAGGAGAUGCCGCCGGCGCCCGUGCCCCGGCUUGACGGGGCGUCCGUGCAGAUCGGGGACCUCCUCUACGUCGUCGCAGGGUACGGGAGCCUCGACCAUGUCCAUUCUCAUGUGGAUGUGUACAAUUUCACUUCUAACACAUGGACUGGAAGGUUUGUUAUGCCCAAGAAGAUGUCAAAUUCACAUUUAGGGAUGGCCUCAGAUGGGAGAUACAUCUAUGCAGUGUCUGGACAAUUUGGUCCACAGUGUCGGCCAGCUGUGAGCCGUAAUUUUGUUCUAGACACAAAGUUAAGGAAGUGGGACGAAUUGCCUCAUUUACCUGUUCCUAGGUAUGCGCCAGCUACUCAACUUUGGCGUGGGCGGCUUCAUGUGAUGGGUGGUGGCAAAGAACACCCAUUGGAGAAUGAGUGGCGAGCUGAAAUACCGAUACCACGUGGUGGACCUCAUAGGGCAUGUGUUGUUGCUAAUGACAAACUCUUUGUAAUUGGUGGUCAAGAGGGAGACUUCAUGCCUAAACCAGGGUCACCUAUUUUUAAAUGCGCAAGGAGGCAUGAGGUUGUUUAUGGUGAUGUGUAUAUGCUAGACAAUGAAGCUAAAUGGAAGCAGCUGUCUCCAAUGCCAAAGCCAGAUUCCCACAUAGAAUUUGCAUGGGUCGUUGUUAAUAACUCCAUAGUAAUUGUUGGUGGAACUACCGAGAAGCACCCUAUCACCAAAAAGAUGAUUCUUGUUGGUGAAGUCUUCCGGUUUGAUUUGGAAACAUUGAAAUGGUCAGUCAUUGGUCGUAUGCCUUUCCGGAUCAAGACAGCCCUAGCUGGUUACUGGGAUGGGUGGCUCUAUUUCACUUCUGGGCAGAGGGAUAGGGGACCUGAUAAUCCAACUCCUAAGAAAGUUGUUGGUUCUGUGUGGAGAACGAAACUGCACGUCUAA